rnacentral:rRNA from 1 species
GAUGAACGCUGGCGGCGUGCCUAAUACAUGCAAGUCGAGCGAACAGACGAGGAGCUUGCUCCUUCGACGUUAGCGGCGGACGGGUGAGUAACACGUAGGUAACCUACCUAUAAGACUGGGAUAACUUCGGGAAACCGGAGCUAAUACCGGAUAAUAUUUCGAACCGCACGGUUCGAUAGUGAAAGAUGGCUUUGCUAUCACUUAUAGAUGGACCUGCGCCGUAUUAGCUAGUCGGUAAGGUAACGGCUUACCAAGGCAACGAUACGUAGCCGACGUGAGAGGGUGAUCGGCCACACGGGAACUGAGACACGGUCCAGACUCCUACGGGAGGCAGCAGUAGGGAAUCUUCCGCAAUGGGCGAAAGCCUGACGGAGCAACGCCGCGUGAGUGAUGAAGGUCUUCGGAUCGUAAAACUCUGUUAUUAGGGAAGAACAAACGUGUAAGUAACUGUGCACGUCUUGACGGUACCUAAUCAGAAAGCCACGGCUAACUACGUG